AUCAGCGUCGCCGCGGUCUCAGUUCUAAAGUUCCCACGCUCCCACCCGGACUCAGAGUCUCCUCAGACGCCGAGAUGCGGUCAUGGCGCCCCGAACCGUCCUCCUGCUGCUCUCGGGGGCCCUGGCCCUGACCGAGACCUGGGCCGGCUCGCACUCCUUGAGGUAUUUCAGCACCGCCGUGUCCCGGCCCGGCCGCGGGGAGCCCCGCUUCAUCUCCGUGGGCUACGUGGACGACACGCAGUUCCUGCGGUUCGACAGCGACGCCGCGAGUCCGAGGAUGGAGCCGCGGGCGCCGUGGGCGGAGCAGGAGGGGCCGGAGUAUUGGGAAGAGCAGACAGGGCUCGCCAAGGACAUCACACAGUCCUUCCGAGUGGGUCUGGGGAACCUGCGCGGCUACUACAACCAGAGCGAGGCGGGGUCUCACACCCUCCAGUGGAUGUAUGGCUGCGACCUGGGGCCCGACGGGCGCCUCCUCCGCGGGUAUCACCAGUUCGCCUACGACGGCAAGGAUUACAUCGCCCUGAACGGAGACCUGCGUUCCUGGACCGCGGCAGACACGGCGGCUCAGAUAACCCAGCGCAAGUGGGAGGCGGCCCGCGAGGCAGAGCAGAUGAGAGCCUACCUGGAGGGGACGUGCCUGGAGUGGCUCCGCAGACACAUGGAGAACGGGAAGGAGACGCUGCAGCGCGCGGACCCCCCAAAGACACACGUGACCCACCACCCCGUCUCUGACCAUGAGGCCACCCUGAGGUGCUGGGCCCUGGGCUUCUACCCUGCGGAGAUCACACUGACCUGGCAGCGGGAUGGGGAGGACCAAACUCAGGACACCGAGCUUGUGGAGACCAGGCCAGUAGGAGAUGGAACCUUCCAGAAGUGGGCAGCUGUGGUGGUGUCUUCUGGAGAAGAGCAGAGAUACACGUGCCAUGUGCAGCAUAAGGGGCUGCCGGAGCCCCUCACCCUGAGAUGGGAGCCAUCUUCCCAGUCCACCAUCCCCAUCGUGGGCAUCGUUGCUGGCCUGGCUGUCCUAGCAGUUGUGGUCACUGGAGCUGUGGUCGCUGCUGUGAUGUGGAGGAGGAAGAGCUCAGUGGGGUGGAGGCCAGGUAGAGAAUUCAGGAUGUGGCUCUCGCACAAGGAACACCUGUGAAUGCUGCUCUCUGACACCCGCCCACAGACUCAUUUCCCACUCACUUCUUGGAGCAAACUACGGAAAACAGAUUUCUGUAAUGUACACAUAAAGUCGUAUAUCUGGUAUUGGGGGCUAGUUUUAUUGUGGAGAUGGCCACAGAAGCAGGCUGGAACCUACACAUCCAGGAACAGAAUCCACAGCCCACCCUGGAUCAGGUCCCUCCUAGGAACAACUGCCCCUGCUGCUGAGCACAGACGCCACUGCUCACACCUCUGACACCUGGUGCUGGACACUGGACCCUGAGGCCAGGGGAGACGUCACUGCUGCACCCGGAAAUUGGACAUCACUACUGUCACUCAGCCAUCUUUACUAAAAUGUGUUCUGCACAGUCCCAGCCUCUCUGUCACCUCAUUCUGGCUCCGAGGCUGGCAGUGAUAUAGGAGUUAAGAAGAAAUUAUUUAGACAGAUAGUGAGGGUACGGAAGGCUUUUAAUGAAAAGCAGCCUCCAAAUUAUUUUCUUUUCUAACAAGGUGCAGCCUGUAAUAUCAAGCUUCAGACAUAGACAAGUAAGCUGGAAGCUUGCACGGGUGAAUGCCGGCAGCUGUGCGAAUAGGAAUAGGACACCUGGGACUGGGCAUGUUCACAAUGGCAACUCCAUCUUCCCUUCUCUUUGCCAGGCACGUUUACAGUAAGGAGCAGAAGACAUGGUGCCGGCCAAGUGGAAAGCCCAUUUGCAUAAUAGGAUGAGGGUGGGGUGAACAGCCUUCCACUGGCACUAUGAAAAGCUGACCAGCAUUUACCACCAACAGAGACCUUCAAUCUGAUCAGAAACAUUUACAAUCUAUUCUCUCUGAAGCCUGGCACCUGGAGGCGUCAUCUGCGUGAGAAAAUUUUGGACUCCACAACCUCUUAUCAUAACCCAGACGUUCCUUUCUGUUGAUAGUAACUCAACCAAUUGCCAAUCAGAAAAAUUAAAAAUCUAAUUAUAACCCA